GAGUGAUGAAGGUUUUCGGAUCGUAAAGCUCUGUUGUUAGGGAAGAACAAGUACCGUUCGAAUAGGGCGGUACCUUGACGGUACCUAACCAGAAAGCCACGGCUAACUACGUGCCAGCAGCCGCGGUAAUACGUAGGUGGCAAGCGUUGUCCGGAAUUAUUGGGCGUAAAGGGCUCGCAGGCGGUUUCUUAAGUCUGAUGUGAAAGCCCCCGGCUCAACCGGGGAGGGUCAUUGGAAACUGGGGAACUUGAGUGCAGAAGAGGAGAGUGGAAUUCCACGUGUAGCGGUGAAAUGCGUAGAGAUGUGGAGGAACACCAGUGGCGAAGGCGACUCUCUGGUCUGUAACUGACGCUGAGGAGCGAAAGCGUGGGGAGCGAACAGGAUUAGAUACCCUGGUAGUCCACGCCGUAAACGAUGAGUGCUAAGUGUUAGGGGGUUUCCGCCCCUUAGUGCUGCAGCUAACGCAUUAAGCACUCCGCCUGGGGAGUACGGUCGCAAGACUGAAACUCAAAGGAAUUGACGGGGGCCCGCACAAGCGGUGGAGCAUGUGGUUUAAUUCGAAGCAACGCGAAGAACCUUACCAGGUCUUGACAUCCUCUGACAAUCCUAGAGAUAGGACGUCCCCUUCGGGGGCAGAGUGACAGGUGGUGCAUGGUUGUCGUCAGCUCGUGUCGUGAGAUGUUGGGUUAAGUCCCGCAACGAGCGCAACCCUUGAUCUUAGUUGCCAGCAUUCAGUUGGGCACUCUAAGGUGACUGCCGGUGACAAACCGGAGGAAGGUGGGGAUGACGUCAAAUCAUCAUGCCCCUUAUGACCUGGGCUACACACGUGCUACAAUGGACAGAACAAAGGGCAGCGAAACCGCGAGGUUAAGCCAAUCCCACAAAUCUGUUCUCAGUUCGGAUCGCAGUCUGCAACUCGACUGCGUGAAGCUGGAAUCGCUA
rnacentral:rRNA from 1 species